rnacentral:rRNA from 1 species
AAAUUGAAGAGUUUGAUCAUGGCUCAGAUUGAACGCUGGCGGCAGGCCUAACACAUGCAAGUCGAACGGUAACAGGAAGAAGCUUGCUUCUUUGCUGACGAGUGGCGGACGGGUGAGUAAUGUCUGGGAAACUGCCUGAUGGAGGGGGGUAACUACUGGAAACGGUAGCUAAUACCGCAUAACGUCGCAAGACCAAAGAGGGGGACCUUCGGGCCUCUUGCCAUCGGAUGUGCCCAGAUGGGAUUAGCUAGUAGGUGGGGUA